rnacentral:rRNA from 1 species
UUACGGGAGGCAGCAGUGGGGAAUAUUGCACAAUGGGCGAAAGCCUGAUGCAGCAACGCCGCGUGGAGGAUGAAGGCCUUCGGGUUGUAAACUCUUGUCUUCUGGGACGAUAAUGACGGUACCAGAGGAGGAAGCCACGGCUAACUACGUGCCAGCAGCCGCGGUAAUACGUAGGUGGCAAGCGUUGUCCGGAUUUACUGGGCGUAAAGGAUGCGUAGGCGGAUAUUUAAGUGGGAUGUGAAAUACCCGGGCUUAACCUGGGUGCUGCAUUCCAAACUGGAUAUCUGGAGUGCGGGAGAGGAGAGUGGAAUUCCUAGUGUAGCGGUGAAAUGCGUAGAGAUUAGGAAGAACACCAGUGGCGAAGGCGACUCUCUGGACCGUAACUGACGCUGAGGCAUGAAAGCGUGGGGAGCAAACAGGAUUAGAUACCCCCGUAGUCC